AACGGAGAAACUAAUUGGUAAAGUUAGGGAGCGUGGCUCCCGGUUCACAAGUCUUGGCGGCGGGGGUGGGCUCCACGUGGAGCGCGGGCGGCACCGGCUGGGCGAGCAGCUCCGGCGGCAGGUCGGGGAUGCCCUUGAGGUGGAAGGUAUAGAAGAGUUUGAAGGGGAAGAUGAUCUGGUGGAGCUUGACGUGGCCGUAGACGCCCUCGAAGACGCCGGAGCCGCCGGUGACGGCGAGCUCGGUGUCUUGGUAGGUGAGGUAGGGCCCCUGCACGGCGAUGUGGCCGUAGUCGCCCAAGUAGAAGCUGUAGAUGGCCUCGUACCGGUCGCCCUUCUUCUCUGCUUCGUUCUUUAUCAGGAUGCAUAUCCCCGCCGUUAUUCCAGCC
rnacentral:lncRNA from 1 species